rnacentral:rRNA from 1 species
GACGAACGCUGGCGGCGUGCUUAACACAUGCAAGUCGAACGGAAAGGCCCUGCUUUUGUGGGGUGCUCGAGUGGCGAACGGGUGAGUAACACGUGAGUAACCUGCCCUUGACUUUGGGAUAACUUCAGGAAACUGGGGCUAAUACCGGAUAGGAGCUCCUGCUGCAUGGUGGGGGUUGGAAAGUUUCGGCGGUUGGGGAUGGACUCGCGGCUUAUCAGCGUGUUGGUGGGGUAGUGGCUUACCAAGGCUUUGGCGGGUAGCCGGCCUGAGAGGGUGACCGGCCACAUUGGGACUGAGAUACGGCCCAGACUCCUACGGGGGGCAGAAGUGGGGAAUAUUGCACAAUGGGCGGAAGCCUGAUGCAGCAACGCCGCGUGCGGGGUGACGGCCUUCGGGUUGUAAACCGCUUUCGCCUGUGACGAAGCGUGUGUGACGGUAAUGGGUAAAGAAGCACCGGCUAACUACGUG